GCGUAGUCGAUGGGAAACGGGUUAAUAUUCCCGUACUUGGUGUUACUGCGAAGGGGGGACGGAGAAGGCUAUGUUGGCCGGGCGACGGUUGUCCCGGUUUAAGCGUGCAGGUGUGUGUUCCAGGUAAAUCCGGUUCACUUUAACACUGAGGCGUGAUGACGAGGCACCACGGUGCUGAAGCAACAAAUGCCCUGCUUCCAGGAAAAGCCUCUAAGCCUCAGGUAACAUCAAAUCGUACCCCAAACCGACACAGGUGGUCAGGUAGAGAAUACCAAGGCGCUUGAGAGAACUCGGGUGAAGGAACUAGGCAAAAUGGUGCCGUAACUUCGGGAGAAGGCACGCUGACACGUAGGUGAAGUGGUUUACCCAUGGAGCUGAAGUCAGUCGAAGAUACCAGCUGGCUGCAACUGUUUAUUAAAAACACAGCACUGUGCAAACACGAAAGUGGACGUAUACGGUGUGACGCCUGCCCGGUGCCGGAAGGUUAAUUGAUGGGGUCAGCGCAAGCGAAGCUCCUGAUCGAAGCCCCGGUAAACGGCGGCCGUAACUAUAACGGUCCUAAGGUAGCGAAAUUCCUUGUCGGGUAAGUUCCGACCUGCACGAAUGGCGUAAUGAUGGCCAGGCUGUCUCCACCCGGGACUCAGUGAAAUUGAACUCGCUGUGAAGAUGCAGUGUACCCGCGGCAAGACGGAAAGACCCCGUGAACCUUUACUAUAGCUUGACACUGAACACUGGUCCUUGAUGUGCAGGAUAGGUGGGAGGCUUUGAAGUGUGGACGCCAGUCUGCAUGGAGCCAUCCUUGAAAUACCACCCUUUAAUGGCUGGUGUUCUAACGUGGGCCCGUGAACCGGGUUGCGGACAGUGUCUGGUGGGUAGUUUGACUGGGGCGGUCUCCUCCUAAAGAGUAACGGAGGAGCACGAAGGUUGGCUAAUCCUGGUCGGACAUCAGGAGGUUAGUGCAAUGGCAUAAGCCAGCUUGACUGCGAGCGUGACGGCGCGAGCAGGUGCGAAAGCAGGUCAUAGUGAUCCGGUGGUUCUGAAUGGAAGGGCCAUCGCUCAACGGAUAAAAGGUACUCCGGGGAUAACAGGCUGAUACCGCCCAAGAGUUCAUAUCGACGGCGGUGUUUGGCACCUCGAUGUCGGCUCAUCACAUCCUGGGGCUGAAGUAGGUCCCAAGGGUAUGGCUGUUCGCCAUUUAAAGUGGUACGCGAGCUGGGUUUAGAACGUCGUGAGACAGUUCGGUCCCUAUCUGCCGUGGGCGCUGGAAGAUUGAGGGGGGCUGCUCCUAGUACGAGAGGACCGGAGUGGACGCAUCACUGGUGUUCGGGUUGUCAUGCCAAUGGCACUGCCCGGUAGCUACAUGCGGAAGAGAUAAGUGCUGAAAGCAUCUAAGCACGAAACUUGCCCCGAGAUGAAUCUUCCCUGAGCCUUUAAGGCUCCUGAAGGAACGUUGAAGACGACGACGUUGAUAGGCCGGGUGUGUAAGCGCAGCGAUGCGUUGAGCUAACCGGUACUAAUGAACCGUGAGGCUUAACCUUACAAC
rnacentral:rRNA from 1 species